GAUAAACGCUGGCGGCGCACAUAAGACAUGCAAGUUGAACGGACUUAAUCGAAAUAUUUAUAUUUUGAAGCGGUUAGUGGCGGACUGGUGAGUAACGCGUAAGGAACCUGCCUAUUAGAGGGGAAUAACAGUGAGAAAUCAUUGCUAAUACCGCAUAUGCCAUAGUUAUCACAUGAUAACAGUGGGAAAGGAGCAAUCCGCUAAUAGAUGGCCUUGCGUCUGAUUAGAUAGUUGGUGGGGUAACGGCCUACCAAGUCGACGAUCAGUAGCCGGACUGAGAGGUUGAACGGCCACAUUGGGACUGAGAUACGGCCCAGACUCCUACGGGAGGCAGCAGUCGGGAAUAUUGCGCAAUGGAGGAAACUCUGACGCAGUGACGCCGCGUAUAGGAAGAAGGUUUUCGGAUUGUAAACUAUUGUCGUUAGGGAAGAGAAAGGACAGUACCUAAGGAGGAAGCUCCGGCUAACUACGUG
rnacentral:rRNA from 1 species